AGAGAGAGACAUGCGUGCAUAUCAAUAAGCGGAGGAAAAGAAACUAACUAGGAUUCCCUCAGUAACGGCGAGUGAAGCGGGAAGAGCUCAAAUUUGAAAUCUUCAAGGUUCUACCUUGACGAAUUAUAGUUUAAAGAAGUGUUUUCUGUUGGAGUUUUGGUAAAAGUUCUUUGGAAUAGGACAUCAUAGAGGGUGAGAAUCCCGUAUUUGACCAUUAUUUCCAGCUUUGUGAUACACUUUCAAGAGAGUCGGAUUGUUUGGGAAUGCAGUCCAAAAUGGGUGGUAAAUUUCAUCUAAAGCUAAAUAUUGGCGAGAGAGCCGAUAGCGAACAAGUACCGUGAGGGAAAGAUGAAAAGAACUUUGAAAAGAGAGUUAAACAGUACGUGAAAUUGUCAAAAGGGAAGCGUUUGACACCAGUGUUGUUUUCUCGAAAAUCAAUUAAAAAAGGCAGGAUUUUGUGUUGUAUUGACUUUAUCAGCUUUCUGCACUCUUUUCUUGUCUUUUUUAAUGCACUUUUCGUUUAACAAGUCAACAUCAAUUUCUUUUGUUGUAAAAGGGUCAUUGGAAGGUGGCUUUCUUUUCGGAGAAAGUGUUUAUAGCCUUUGGCCUCUGCAAUCGGAGAGAUUGAGGUCUGCAGCGUAGAUCCUUCGGGGUUAGAUACAUUUGUGCUAAGUUAUAGCCUUUCAUAGACAACUUGUUGACUAUGAUCAGUCAUGUAGCUUACUCGCUUAUGCUAUUUUACCUACGCUUAGGAUGUUGAUGUGAUACUGCGAGCA
rnacentral:rRNA from 1 species